UACGUAGGGUGCAAGCGUUUAUCGGAAUUACUGGGCGUAAAGCGUGCGCAGGCGGUUUUGUAAGUCUGAUGUGAAAUCCCCGGGCUCAACCUGGGAAUUGCAUUGGAGACUGCAAGGCUAGAAUCUGGCAGAGGGGGGUAGAAUUCCACGUGUAGCAGUGAAAUGCGUAGAGAUGUGGAGGAACACCGAUGGCGAAGGCAGCCCCCUGGGUCAAGAUUGACGCUCAUGCACGAAAGCGUGGGGAGCAAACAGG
rnacentral:rRNA from 1 species